rnacentral:sRNA from 1 species
UUGAACCAGGAGAUCCGCAGAUGAAAUUGAGAGGAGUAAGCAAGUUGGAAAGGGAAGCUUGCUAGAUAGGCAAAUGCUGAACUUGGUUUUAGACACUCAGUUAAAUGACAGUUGGCCUUCCAAUCAGAGGUGUGAUACAGUCUUUUAGGGAACAAAAGACCAUGUACAGAAGGCAAAUGUCAGCAGGGAAAGACACCGCUGAACAUGGCUCAAAAGGAGGGUGGAGUUGGGAGGUUGAGAAGGAGGCAGACAUAGGACUUGGGGAUAUGGUUGUCCCCAGGGAGGGAAUUGGGGCAUCUGUUUUCACGCCAAGGAUCUGCGUAGUGAGAAGUGAGGCUCAAGCAUCAUGGGUGCAGUCUGCAUGGCAGCAGCCCUGAGGAGAAACACUGGGCCAGAGCCUCAAGCAUUUCGGUUGGCAUAAAGUCAAAUCCUCAGCAGGACUGAAAAGGGCCCUGCAUCCUGUCAUCUGGGUAUUCCACAAACACUCUAGAAUCAUAAUUCUCUCUUCAGAUUGUUUCAAGUUCUCAUAAAUAAAAAGUUCUUUCAUAUUUCCCAUUUAUUUCCUGUCUGUAGUGUUCAGUACAGAAGUGUUUUGCUCUAAUGUGCCGAGUUGUUUUUAAUUAUACGCCAUGCUGGGUUUCAGACGGUGGAGAACUGCGUGUGCACCCUGAGGAACCUGUCCUAUCGGCUGGAGCUGGAGGUGCCCCAGGCCCGGUUACUGGGACUGAACGAAUUGGAUGACUUACUAGGAAAAGAGUCUCCCAGCAAAGACUCUGAGCCAAGUUGCUGGGGGAAGAAGAAGAAAAAGAAAAAGAGGACUCCGCAAGAAGAUCAAUGGGAUGGAGUUGGUCCUAUCCCAGGAUUGUCGAAGUCCCCCAAAGGGGUUGAGAUGCUGUGGCACCCAUCGGUGGUAAAACCAUAUCUGACUCUUCUAGCAGAAAGUUCCAACCCAGCCACCUUGGAAGGCUCUGCCGGGUCUCUCCAGAACCUCUCUGCUGGCAACUGGAAGUUUGCAGCAUAUAUCCGGGCGGCCGUCCGAAAAGAAAAGGGGCUCCCCAUCCUUGUGGAGCUUCUGAGAAUGGAUAACGAUAGAGUUGUUUCUUCCGUGGCAACUGCCUUGAGGAAUAUGGCACUAGAUGUUCGCAACAAGGAGCUCAUAGGCAAAUACGCCAUGCGAGACCUGGUCAACCGACUCCCCGGCGGCAACGGCCCCGGUGUCUUGUCUGAUGAGACCAUGGCAGCCAUCUGCUGUGCUCUGCACGAGGUCACCAGCAAAAACAUGGAGAAUGCGAAAGCCCUGGCCGACUCGGGAGGCAUAGAGAAGCUGGUGAACAUAACCAAAGGCAGGGGCGACAGAUCAUCUCUGAAAGUGGUGAAGGCAGCAGCCCAGGUCUUGAAUACAUUAUGGCAAUAUCGGGACCUCCGGAGCAUUUAUAAAAAGGAUGGGUGGAAUCAGAACCAUUUUAUUACACCUGUGUCGACAUUGGAGCGAGACCGAUUCAAAUCACAUCCUUCCUUGUCUACCACCAACCAACAGAUGUCACCCAUCAUUCAGUCAGUCGGCAGCACCUCUUCCUCACCAGCACUGUUAGGAAUCAGAGACCCUCGCUCUGAAUACGAUAGGACCCAGCCACCUAUGCAGUAUUACAAUAGCCAAGGGGAUGCCACACAUAAAGGCCUGUACCCUGGCUCCAGCAAACCUUCACCAAUUUACAUCAGUUCCUAUUCCUCACCAGCAAGAGAACAAAAUAGACGGCUACAGCAUCAACAGCUGUAUUAUAGUCAAGAUGACUCCAACAGAAAGAACUUUGAUGCAUACAGAUUGUAUUUGCAGUCUCCUCAUAGCUAUGAAGAUCCUUAUUUUGAUGACCGAGUUCACUUUCCAGCUUCUACUGAUUACUCAACACAGUAUGGACUGAAAUCGACCACAAAUUAUGUAGACUUUUAUUCCACUAAACGACCUUCUUAUAGAGCAGAACAAUACCCAGGGUCCCCAGACUCAUGGGUGUAGCAUCAAGAUGCCCAACAGAGGAACUCUUUCUUUCUAACCUUGUUUGGAUUGAGGUGAAAAGUCCAUCUUGCUGAUUUGAUGAUUGAAAUGUGAAAGUGAAGUGGAAGGAAUGAGUGAAGUGCGUUUUUUUUUUCUUUUUUGAGGAAUUAUCAGGGAAGUGAGGAAACGUUUGGGAGAGGACUUUCUAAGCUCUAUUUAGGUGUUAGAUCUAAUUACUUAUAGAUUCUUUAGUCUGGUGAAGGUGUGGGUGACGUGAUGAGAGGUUUGAGAAAUGGGUGAAAUGAAAUGGGGGAUGUGUAGGUCAAAUCAAAUUAAAGAUGAUUUUUUUAAUGUGAAUAAAGUUAUGUUCUGAUAGUUUGUACAGAAAAAAUAAAAUGAUUGCCCAUGUUUUAUUGCUAUUACUAAAUGUCAAGAUUGUAUGCUAUUAUGUCUUGUAAAUUUCUUUUGUUGGUGUAAAUAUGGAAAUGCCACAUUGGUUAAGUGCCAUCAUUUGUAACGCAGUGUCACUUGAAAAGAGAUUUGAAGAAACUGACAACUUCAAAAACAAAUGAGAAGCCCAAGGAACUGUGAGCAAUUAAAAACAAACCGCAGCACCCUUUGUCUCCACCACGCAUAGUGUACUUUGGAAGCACAACAUCCAGGCUGGUACCGCAGCGCCAUGCCCAUUCCUCGCCUCGUUCAUAGGACACUUCACUGCCAUUUUCUAUGCACAUAAAAGAAAAAUAAAUGUGGAAAUUUCAUCCUUGG